AACGAACGCUGGCGGCAGGCCUAACACAUGCAAGUCGAACGCCCCGCAAGGGGAGUGGCAGACGGGUGAGUAACGCGUGGGAACGUGCCCUUCGGUUCGGAAUAACUCAGGGAAACUUGAGCUAAUACCGGAUACGUCCGUAAGGAGAAAGAUUUAUCGCCGAAGGAUCGGCCCGCGUCGGAUUAGCUAGUUGGUGAGGUAACGGCCCACCAAGGCGACGAUCCGUAGCUGGUCUGAGAGGAUGAUCAGCCACACUGGGACUGAGACACGGCCCAGACUCCUACGGGAGGCAGCAGUGGGGAAUAUUGGACAAUGGGCGAAAGCCUGAUCCAGCCAUGCCGCGUGAGUGAAGAAGGCCUUAGGGUUGUAAAGCUCUUUCAGCGGGAAGAUAAUGACGGUACCCGCAGAAGAAGCCCCGGCUAACUUCGUGCCAGCCGCCGCAGUAAG
rnacentral:rRNA from 1 species